GGGCCCGUAGCUCAGCGGUUAGAGCAGGCGACUCAUAAUCGCUUGGUCGCUGGUUCGAAUCCAGCCGGGCCCACCU
rnacentral:tRNA from 1 species